rnacentral:lncRNA from 1 species
CACGCUCUUCAUACUCUUCACAACACCUAACUUCAUAUUUCACACACUUCACACACUUUACACACUUUACACUUCACACACAAUUCACACACACUUCACACUUCACACUUCACACUCUUUGCACUUCACAUUUCACACUUCACACUCAUCACACUUGACACUCAUCACACUUGACACUUGACACUUCACACAUUUCACACUUCACACGUCACGCACUUGAACACUUUACACCCAUCACAAUUCACACUUCACACACUUCACACUUCCCCAAUUCCCGCACUUUGCACUUUGUCACACUUUGUCACAAUUCAAAUUUGUCAAACAUUUACACUUCACACAGCACACUUCACAUUUCACACUUUUCACACACUUCACAACAAGUGCUGAACAAAAUACUUACAAAACACUUCAAAAACACAUCUCAAGGACUUAACAAACAAUAACACUUAAAUAAACACUUAAAAAUCACACUUCACUAUUUACACCAAAACACCCAAACACAAACACUUAACCACUUCAAACCACUUCACCCUUCACACUACACACUUCAUACUUUAAAACAAAUACUUAAGCAUUUCAUACUGAAAUAAUUACUUUAACAUUCCACACAUGAACACAAACACACAAACACUUCACACUUGAACACUUAAUAGCUUAAAACAAACACCUUUAACACCUAAACACACAAACACACAAACACUUCACAAGUAAAUAAACACUUCACAAACAAUUACACUUAACUAACACAUAUAAAACACUUCACUAACAGUUAACAAACACUAACACUUAAAAAUUACACUUCACACUUAAAAAAAACACUUUAACACUUUAACGCUUAAACACACACUUUAACACUUAACACUUAAGCACACACUUUAGCACUUCACACUCAACACUUAACCACACACUUUAACACUUUAACGCUUAAACACACACUUUAACACUUAACACUUAAACACACACUUUAGCACUUCACACUCAACACAUAAACACACACUUAAACACUUAACACUUCAACACCUUAACACCUAAAUACCCAAACACCCAAAUACCCCAACACUAAUUGAUUUUAUAUGUACUAUUCCUAGAGAACUUACAUUUACAUUAUAAUAUAGGAAAGAGACUGAUUCAAGUAUAUAAUUUCUAUGAAUAAAAUUAUAUUUCAAAAACAUGUUUAAAUGCAAAACGAAAUUUAAAAAAUUAAAAAUUACAAAAAACCUUUAUCCUACCCCGCACUCUAAUAUAUAGAAGUAAGAAACUCUAUUACUUCAAUAAGAAUUAGAAAGCACCCGUCAAGUUUUGGCUUCAACUUCAUCUACUACCAAUAUAUUGUUGUGUAGUGCCAACUGUGCUUCUUCUAUCUGCAAACAAAAGAGUGAUUUAUGAGAAAAUAGAUAUCAACUGCAAAAUAAAGCUAGACCACUCAACUUGCAUCAUCAUAUGAAUUUAUAAAUACAUAUGCUUUUACCAACUCAAUAUGAUAAUUGACCUAGAACCUUGAUAAAUGGCAUGGACUCAAAAUCUCCUGCAAGCAUGAAAGUUGGUCGUAACAAACAGAAAAUUUUGAAAAUAAAUGUUACUGUCAUUUAUUAUAACUGUACCUAGAGUGUCAUCCAAUUCAAUGACACAUAUCUGCAGGUCCAGGCAUGCCUUCCACUGGUAUCAUUGUUACGCGUCCAAUCCACUUUUGAAUAGCAUCUAUAACGUGAGGAACAAUCUAUAGGUAGCAACAUUACACAAAGGCUAUUGCAAGCCACAAUAGCUGAUGGGUUCAAUAGUUAUUAAAUACCUGGACAGUUUUUUCAGAUAGUCUCCCCUUCUUUUCUUAUCUAUAACAUGCCAAAAGGAAAAAAAAUUAUUAAAAAGAAAUCAGCUAGCUGAUUAUUAUUUUUGAUUUCUCCUAGCAGCAGACACAAAAAUAAUCAAAAAAGAUGUGUAAGUUAAUCUCACCUAGUACAUUUUUUCAGUACUGAUAUUAUUGUCUCUUCUCAACUUGAUAUCCAAAAAAUUCAUAAUUUCUGAUGUCCAGGUUCACCUUUCAAACAACAAAAAAAAGUCAUUUUCUUCCUAACCUUUUAAGCAGUGAUACUUUCUAAACAAUAAUUAAUAGAGAUAAUAAAAGAAAUGAUAAUUAAAAAUUACUCGCCUUUUAGGAAAUAAGAAACUCCCACAUGUACAAAAUAAAAUCAAAAAAGCAUGUAAAAGAAAAUGAAUUCCAAACAGGAAAAAGUUAAUUAUGAUCAUAAAUUAGAAAAUUCACUUUUUGUAUAUGGAUUUCUCGAUAAUAUCAACAAAAAAAGACAAUUUUUUUUUCCUUUUACUUAAGAGUGGAGGAAGGAAGGAAUAGGAAGAGACCUAUUUAAUGAAAAUAACACGAAUACUAAAAAUCAACUACUAACUACUAACCACAAACUUACACACUUGUACACUUCAACAAACACUUGUACGUAACAAAAACUUAACAAAACGCUUCAAAAAUACUGCACAAAGACUUAACAAAUACUAACACUUAACAAACAAUAAAACUUAAAUAUCACAUUUCACACUUAACACCUAAACACACAAACACUUUAACAGUACACACUUCAAACCACUUCACACUACACAUUUCACACUUAAACAAACAUUUUAACACUUCACGCUUAAAUAAACACUAACUUUUAACACCUUAACACAAACACUUCACAUUUCACAAACACUACCAUUUACCAAACACUACAACUUAAACAUUACACUUCACACAUAAGUACUUCACACCCUUAGAGCUUAAUACAGUUAAAAAAAACGUAACAAAUACUUUACAAACACUUAACAAACUAACACCUAAGCAUCACACUUCACACCUUUACACUUUCACACUUAAACACAUAACAACUUAACACACAAAUACACUCACACACUUCACACUUAAGAAACACUAACACUUAAAUAUCAUACUUAACACUGCACGCUUUCACAAAUAAAUACUUAAACACCCAAACACUUAACACCUAACUUCACAUACUUCACACGCCUCACUAUUCACACUUAACAAACAAUAACACUUAAACAUCAUACUUUACACUGCACAUUUUCACACGUAAAUACCUAAACACUUAACACCUUAAUACCUAAACACCUAACUUAACACUUCACACACUUCACAAACUUCACACUCUUCACACUUCACACACUUCACACUCUUCACAACUCCUAACUUCACACUCUUCACACUUCACACAUCACACUUCACACUCUUCGCACUCCGCACUCUUCGCACUCCGCACACUCCGCACUCCGCACUCCGCUCCGCACUCCGCACGCCGCACGCCUUUCUCUCUCCAAAGCACUCUUCACAACACCUAACUUCAUACUUCACACACUUUACACUCUUCACACUCCGCACUCCGCACUCCGCACUCCGCACUCCGCACUCUUCACACUCUUCACAACACCUAACUUCAUACUUCACACACUUUACACUCUUCACACUUCACACUUCACACACAUCACACACACUUCACACUUCACACUUCUCACUCUUUACACUUCACAUUUCACACUUUACACUCGUCACACUUCACAAUUCACAAUUGGCACUUCACACACUCGAACACUUCAUACUCGUCACACUUCACACUUCACACUAUUCACACUUCCCGCACUUUGCACAUUGUCACACUUUGUCACACUUCACAUUUGUCACACACUUCACACUUCACACAUUUCACACACUUCACACUUUACACUUCACACAACACACUUCACACUUUUCACACACUUCACAAUAAGCGCAAAACAAAAUACUUACAAAACACUUCUCAAAGACCUAACAAACAAUAACACUUAAAUAAACACUUAAAAAUCACACUUCACGCUUUACACCAAACCACCCAAACACACAAACACUUAACCACUUCAAACCACUUCACCCUUCAUACUACACACUUCACACUUUAAAACAAAUACUUAAGCAUUUCAUACUUAAAUAAAUACACUAACAUUUAACACCUAAACACAAACACACAAACACUUCACACUUAAACACUUAAUAGCUCACCACAAACACCUAAACACACAAACAAUUACACUUAACAAACAAUUACAAAACACUUCACCAACAGUUAACAAACACUAACACUUAAAAAUUACACAUCACACUUAAAAAAAACACUUUAACACUUUAACACUUAAACACACACUUUAACACUUAACACCUAAGCACACACUUUAGCACUUCACACUCAACACAUAAACACACACUUUAACACUUAACGCUUCAAUACCUAAACACCUAAAUACCUAAACACCCAAACACCUCAACACUAAUUGAUUUUAGAUGUACUAUUCCUAGAGAACUUAUAUUUAUAUUAUAAUAUAGGAAAGAGACUUAUUCAAGUAUAUAAUUUCUAUGAAUAAAAUUAUAUUUCAAAAACAUGUUUAAAUGCAAAACGAAAUUUAAAAAUUUAAAAAUUACAAAAAAUCAUUAUCCUGCCACGCACUCUAAUAUAUAGAAAUAAGAAGCUCUUUUACUUCAAUAAAAAUUAGAAAGCACCCGUCAAGUUUUGGCUUCCUCUUCAUCUACUACCAAUAUAUUGUUGUGUAGUGCCAACUGUGCUUCUUCUAUCUGCAAACAAAAGAGUGAUUUAUGAGAAAACAGAGAUCAACUGCAAAAUAAAGCUAGAGCACUCAAUUUGCAUCAUCAUAUGAAUUUAUAAAUCCAUAUGCUCUUACCAACUCAAUAUGAUAAUUAACCUAGAACCUUGAUAAAUGGCAUGGAUUCAAAAUCUCCUGCAAGCAUAAAAGCUGAUCGUAACAAACAGAAAAUUUUGAAAAUAAAUGUUACUGUCAUUUAUUGUAACUGUACCUAGAGUGUCAUCCAAUUCAAUGACACAUAUCUGUAGGUCCAGACAUGCCUUCCACUGGUAUCAUUGUUACGCGUCCAAUCCACUUUUGAAUAGCAUCUAUAACAUGAGGAACAAUCUAUAGGUAGCAACAUUACACAAAGGCUAUUGCAAGCCACAAUAGCUUAUGGGUACAACAGUUAUUAAAUAUCUGGAGAGUUUUUGUCAGAUAGUCUCCCCUUCUUUUCUUAUCUAUAACAUGCCAAACGGGAAAAAAAUUAUUAAAAAGAAAUCAGCUAGCUGAUUAUUCUUUUUGGUUUCUCCUAGUAGGAGACACAAAAAUAAUCAAAAGAGAUGUGCAAGUUAAUCUCACCUGGUAAAUUUUUCCAGUACUGAUAUUAUUGUCUCUUCUCAACUUGAUAUCCAGAAAAUUCAUAAUUUCUGAUGUCCAGGUUCACCUUUCAAACAACAGGAAAAAGUUAAUUAUGAUCAUAAAUUGGAAAAUUCACCUUUUGUAUAUAGAUUUCUCCGUAAUAUCAACAAAAAAAAAAAUUUUUUUUACUUUUACUUAAAAGAGGAGGAAGAAAGGAAGAGGAAGAGACCUAUUUGAUUAAAAUAACACGAAUACUAAAAAUCAACUACUAACUACUAACCACAAACUCUUAACCCUAACCAUAACCUUAACCAUAUACUAACCCUAACACUUCACAAACACUUAACAAACACUUCAAAAACACUAAACAAACAAUAAACACUUGAACAUUAUACGUAAACUUCAUACUUAAGUGUUUGUACAAAUACUUAAAAAACAAUUAACAAAUACUUUAACAAACACUUCACAAACACUUAACAAACACUAACAUUUAAGCAUCACACUUCACACUUAAACACUAAACACCUUAACACCUUAACACACAAACAUACUCACACGCUUCAAACUUAACAAACAUUAACACUUAAACAUUACACUUUAUACUUUCACACUUAAACAAUUAAACAUUUAACACUUAAACACAAAAAAAAAAAGUUACACACUUGUACACUUCAACAAACACUUAUACCUAACAAAAACUUAACAAAACACUUCAAAAAUACUGCACAAGGACUUAACAAAUACUAACACUUAACAAACAGUAACACUUAAAUAUCACACUUCACCCUUAACACCUAAACACACAAACACUUUAACAGUACACACUUCAAACCACUUCACACUUAAAUAAACAUUUUAACACUUCACACUUAAAUAAACACUUUAACUUUUAACACCUUAACACAAACACUUCACACUUCACAAACAGUACCAUAUACCAAACACUACAACUUAAACAUCACACUUCACACAUAAGUGCUUAACACCUUAAGAGCUUAAUACACUUAAAAAAAACGUAACAAAUACUUCACAAACACUUAACAAACAAACACCUAAGCAUCAAACUUCACACUUCACACCUUCACACUUAAACACUUAACACCCUAACACACAAAUACACUCACACACUUCACACUUAAAAAACACUAACACUUAAACAUCACACUUCACACUACACGCUUUCACACAUAAACACUUAAACACCUAAACAAUUAACACCUUAACACCUAACUUCACAUACUUCACACGCAUCACACACUUCACAUUUCACACUUAAGAAACAAUAACACUUAAACAUCACACUUCACACUGCACAUUUUCACACGUAAACACCUAAACACUUAACACCUUAACACCUAAACACCAAACUUAACACUUCACACACUUCAUAAACUUCACACUCUUCACACUCUUCACACUUCACACACUUCACACUCUUCACAACACCUAACUUCACACUUCACACACUUCACACUUCAUACUACACUUCACACACAAUUCACACACUCUUCGCACUUCACACACUCUUCGCACUUCACACUCGUCACACUUCACACUUCACACUUCACACUUCACACUCGUCACACUUCACACUCGUCACACUUCACAUUUCACACUCGUCACACUUCACACUUCACACUUCACACUCGUCACACUUCACACUCUUCACACAUCACACUUCAUACUUCACACAACACACACUUCACACUUCACACUCUUCAUACUCUUCACAACACCUAACUUCAUACUUCACACACUUCACACUCUUCACACACUUCACACAUCACACACUUCACACAACACUUCACACACAAUUCACACACACUUCACAUUUCUUACUUCUCACUCUUUGUACUUCACAUUUCACACUUCACACUCGUCACACUUCACAC